rnacentral:rRNA from 1 species
UACGUAGGUGGCAAGCGUUGUUCGGAAUUACUGGGCGUAAAGGGCGCGUAGGCGGCCCGCUAAGUCGAACGUGAAAUCCCCGGGCUCAACCCGGGAACUGCGUCCGAUACUGGUGGGCUCGAAUCCGGGAGAGGGAUGCGGAAUUCCAGGUGUAGCGGUGAAAUGCGUAGAUAUCUGGAGGAACACCGGUGGCGAAGGCGGCAUCCUGGACCGGUAUUGACGCUGAGGCGCGAAAGCCAGGGGAGCAAACGGG